UCACAUUAAAAUUUUCUAGUCGAACGUUGAAAACUUAACUCUAAAACUUAAAGGUGUGUUUCGAUUAUCUUCCAAGAGUUUAAUUUUAAAAAAAAGUUAAAUUGAAGUUCGAUAAAUACUAAAAAUAACUUUGAAACGCUUUUAAAACAACAUUUUUUAGAUUUUUUUUCUCUAGUCAAUCCAAAAAGCCUCCAAAUAAUGCAAGCCAGAGCAACUACUAGAUAAAGUCUCAACAUCCUAUAUCAGUUCAUCACACGUUCAAAAUUGAAAAGGGAGAAUGUGUAAGAAACCUGACGAGCAACUUGAGACAACUGUCGACUCUCCCUCGUCGAUUCUCCGAUCAAGAUUCAUUUCAGAGUUCGACUUAGAACUUGGAAAAAUCAAAUUCCUAAUUCCACCACUAUCCUGUUUCACCGUCAAUGCAGUCAAAUCUUUCUUACUGUGUGCUGCAUUCUCGAGGACUUUGGAUUUAUUGACCUUAACACUGGCAGUAACACUAGGGAGAACUGAUAAAGAAUCAAUAUAACUUUCUGUUGAUGCGAGUUCUGGAUCCAAGCAGAUUAAUGGAAGUACUACAUGGAGAUAGGACAAAAGACUUAUCGCAAGGAUUGAUAGGCUGAUCGGGAGAGUGACCAUUUAAAUUCCCUGUUUUCAUGUUUCCUUUUGGUUGCUCUUGAAUAGAAUCCCAACUUGCAUCUUUG